rnacentral:rRNA from 1 species
AUUGAACGCUGGCGGCAUGCCUUACACAUGCAAGUCGAACGGCAGCACGGGGGCAACCCUGGUGGCGAGUGGCGGACGGGUGAGUAAUGCAUCGGAACGUGCCCUGAAGUGGGGGAUAACGCAGCGAAAGCUACGCUAAUACCGCAUAUUCUGUGAGCAGGAAAGCAGGGGAUCGCAAGACCUUGCGCUUUGGGAGCGGCCGAUGUCGGAUUAGCUAGUUGGUGGGGUAAAGGCCUACCAAGGCGACGAUCCGUAGCGGGUCUGAGAGGAUGAUCCGCCACACUGGGACUGAGACACGGCCCAGACUCCUACGGGAGGCAGCAGUGGGGAAUUUUGGACAAUGGGCGAAAGCCUGAUCCAGCCAUGCGCGUGAGUGAAGAAGGCCUUC